rnacentral:rRNA from 1 species
AACGAACGCUGGCGGCAUGCCUAACACAUGCAAGUCGAACGAGAUCUUCGGGUCUAGUGGCGCACGGGUGCGUAACGCGUGGGAAUCUGCCCUUUGGUUCGGAAUAACAGUCGGAAACGACUGCUAAUACCGGAUGAUGACAAAAGUCCAAAGAUUUAUCGCCAGAGGAUGAGCCCGCGUAGGAUUAGCUAGUUGGUGUGGUAAAGGCGCACCAAGGCGACGAUCCUUAGCUGGUCUGAGAGGAUGAUCAGCCACACUGGGACUGAGACACGGCCCAGACUCCUACGGGAGGCAGCAGUGGGGAAUAUUGGACAAUGGGCGAAAGCCUGAUCCAGCAAUGCCGCGUGAGUGAUGAAGGCCUUAGGGUUGUAAAGCUCUUUUACCCGGGAUGAUAAUGACAGUACCGGGAGAAUAAGCUCCGGCUAACUCCGUGCCAGCCGCCGCUGUAA